UUCCGUAGGAGUACCUGCGGAGGGAUCAUUACCGAGUUUACAACUCCCAAACCCCUGUGAACAUACCUAUACGUUGCCUCGGCGGAUCAGCCCGCGCCCCGUAAAACGGGACGGCCCGCCCGAGGACCCCUAAACUCUGUUUUUAGUGGAACUUCUGAGUAAAACAAACAAAUAAAUCAAAACUUUCAACAACGGAUCUCUUGGUUCUGGCAUCGAUGAAGAACGCAGCAAAAUGCGAUAAGUAAUGUGAAUUGCAGAAUUCAGUGAAUCAUCGAAUCUUUGAACGCACAUUGCGCCCGCCAGUAUUCUGGCGGGCAUGCCUGUUCGAGCGUCAUUUCAACCCUCAAGCUCAGCUUGGUGUUGGGACUCGCGGUAACCCGCGUUCCCCAAAUCGAUUGGCGGUCACGUCGAGCUUCCAUAGCGUAGUAAUCAUACACCUCGUUACUGGUAAUCGUCGCGGCCACGCCGUAAAACCCCAACUUCUGAAUGUUGACCUCGGAUCAGGUAGGAAUACCCGCUGAACUUAAGCAUAUCAAUAAGGCGGAGGAA
rnacentral:rRNA from 1 species